rnacentral:misc_RNA from 1 species
UCCGCUUUGUGUGCGGCAGUCUCUCUAGAUAUUCAACUAGAAACAAGGGUUGCGCUCGUUGCGGGACUUAACCCAACAUCUCACGACACGAGCUGACGACAGCCAUGCAACAUCUGUGUACCUGUCCCGAAGGAGGCGCCUCUUUCAAGGCGUUGCAAGUACAUGUCAAGCCCAGGUAAGGUUCUUCGCGUCGCAUCGAAUUAAACCACACGCUCCGCUGCUUGUGCGGGUCCCCGUCAAUUCCUUUGAGUUUUAGUCUUGCGACCGUACUCCCCAGGCGGGCCACUUAAUGCGUUAGCUUCGGCACGGGAGGGGUCAACACCUCCCACACCUAGUGGCCAUCGUUUACUGCUAGGACUA